CCACUACCGAUUCUCCAGAACUGGUCAGAACCUGCCGAAUACCCACCUCUGAUAUCCUCCUCCCUAGGGUUUUCUAUCCAUGCCUUUGGAAGCGGAGUUUACCCUGGAUUUGGCUGCUGCCCCAGAAGCCACGUCAAACAGCCAUAAAAGUGGUUGGUUGGUUGAUUAGUAGUCUAUGGAGAUUGAUUCUCAGCCACCCCGGUCAUGAUUGUCCCAAUGGUGCUUUUUUCAGGAGGCAACUGGACUUUCUGGGGUUGGUUUUUUUUUUUGAAGAUUGGUUUAAUGAAUUGGUUUGAUUGGUUAAUGCUUGUCGUGGUUAGCAGAGAUGUAACAGCCAAGUUAUUUUUAUAUUCGCUGUGUCCAUCCAGGCGCUUCCAGCAUGUCCGAUCCAAGCCACCUGUGAAGCUGCCUCCAAAGAAGAAAACAAAGAGAAGAACAGAUACGUCAACAUUUUGCCUUAUGACCAUUCCAGAGUCCACCUGACACCCAUUGAAGGGGUUCCAGACUCCGACUAUAUCAACGCCUCGUUCAUUAAUGGGUAUCAGGAGAAGAACAGGUUCAUUGCUGCACAAGGUAAAUAAUAUGUAUUUCCUUUGAAUUUCUAUACUGCAAGAAAUACCCAUUCCGGCAUUCAGCCGGCUUCGACCGGCUCGCCCGAACCGGUAGCGGAAAUCGUGGGUGGGCCAGUGGU